GGUUCUGUAGUGUAGCGGUCAUCACUCCGGGUUCUGAUAAAGCAUUAGAAGUAACUGAAUGUUUUCCGGCAACCCCGGUUCGAUUCCGGGCAGGACCU